AUGGAAGGGUAGAGUAGUGGGAAAUUUUUCCUUUACCCAGGAGAAGAGAGUGGCCUGAGAGUAGAGUUGGGAGCAAAACCUGUCCUUCCUUAUCUUCUGCUGAGGGCUUGGAAGCCUAUAUGGUAUUGUCUUUAGUGGAUUUUUUUUUAAUGGAAGGAGUGGGAUUUUUAUGUCCCACUUUGAGAAAUGGAGACACGGAGGCGGCCUGUCAUGAAACAACUCAGCUGAGCCAUGUAGGUAGUACAUGGUAGGUCUCUGAUUACAGUCAGAGUCUUUUUGCUGCUGUUUCCUCCAUGGCACCUGGCUUGGAGCUGGGCUCCUCCAGCGACACUGUCCUCUGCUGUAGCAUCAGGGUUUCCUAACUGGUGUCUCUCCACACCUUCAAAGAGGUCCGUGCUCCUCCUGGAAGCACCAGAGUCUGUCAGGAAGGGACCUGGAUGUUCCUGUGGGCCUAGUUAGGGUGGGUUCAUUACGAGAAUCGACCUCAAUUUAACAAAUGUUUAUUCAACACUUACCAUAUGCCAGGCACUGCUCUAGAAGCUGGAGACAACAAAUAAAACGAAAACCUUCUCUCAAAGAGCUCACAGUCUAGAAUAGAGAUGGGCCAGGAGGAGCAAAGAGGAGAGGGUUACAGCAGGUCCUUGGUCUUGGAAGACGUCCUCAAGAAUGAAGGAGUCUUAUUCCACACUUUAGAUGAAAAGUUUCUUUGCUCUGAAUUUCUGGAUUUCCACAGAUCCCAGUGAAGCGACAUUCUACUCAUGCCUUUCGUCCACCAGCUUCACAAAAUACCUGCUUGUCUACACUAGCCAUUUCUCUCAGCCCUUUUCAGAAAUUUUCCAUAUGAUUAACGCGACAUUUAAAAACCUCCAUUUUGGGUAGGUUUGCAGGAGAUUCCACACAGCUGGAGCUGUCACUGGGUCAUGCUGAGUGAUGAAUUAGCCAGAACGCAGCUCUGGAAAUGCUGUCACUUUCCUCCAUUGCUGCAGGAGACAUGGAUGCGUCCCUACAUCAUUGAUGCUCCCAGUAACACUCGAGGUCGACAACAGAGCUCUGCGUACAGAUAACCCUCCUGAGGUGGGACACUGGAACAGUGUGGGGAAGCUGUCUUAUCAUUUUCUCGGGAAGUCUGGAAUUAUCCCAAGGUGACGAGGAUUUUGCAUUCCCUGAGGACUGAGAGCUCUUUCACCAGGCAUCGAUUGUGCUGGCUGAGCAGGCCAGGAAGAGCAGUCACUGUUAACACCGCGCCUGAGCUGGAUGGAGUCUAAUCCAGGAUCAAGGUCAGAGAAAGACUCUGCUCCAACCAAGGAACAGCCAGGACUCUUUCCGAGGGGCAGAAGCUUGCCCACCAUCUCCUGCUUUCAUUGGAUCUAUUCUGCUCUUUCCAGAGUCUAUAAUUUGCAUAUACAACCUCACCAUUGUGCAUUGCAUCCUGGGGGCUGUUGUGGAAAAGGAUGGAGAAAGAUGUCUUCCUGUCUGUUGACUGAGAGGCCCAGAAGUCAUGACCAGCCCAGAAAGCGGUGGGCAUACCUAGAGUUAAGACUGUGACCUCUAAAACCAUUGACCACGGAGAGGAACCAGAGCUUCCUGGAGAAUUGGCAGAUUCCAGCUCUGGGGAAGAAAAGUUCAAGGUGAGCCUCAACAACUCGUUAUGCUAGAUAGCAAAGAACCUACUGAAUAUGACGAGGGAUGUGUCAAAGGACUUAGGAGACCAUCUGAAUAAGCUCCUACUGGCUACAGAUGGGACAAGUUUGUCAUCCAAAAGAAUAAUGAUGGCAAUUGAUUGAUGGACACAUCCAAUAAGUUCCAAUGCAUGUGUUCAUAACAAUAAUAACUAGAGAAAACUCAUCAAUAACUUUGGAGGAUGCUGGGGAAUCACCUUAUUGUUUUAAAAUCUAGGAAAGGAAGGGGAAAUAGCAAACAUUCAUCCUGCUUUUAUUUUAGGAUUUCUUCCUCUGGUGAUGGGUUGGGGAGGAGUAGCUUCUCUGUAUAGACGAAUUUCAGCUGACGAGCAAAGCAUGAUGAAGUUAGACCACUUUGAAGUCCCUAAAGCAUUAAUGAAUCCAGGCAAUGGAGCCAGACAAUGCUUAAAUGGCUGAUAACAUCACAACAAGAGGGACAACCAGACAUGUCUAUAUGUCCUCGUGGACGCAAACACCACCACCUUCGAAAUAGUCUUGCUUGUGUGUGUGUGUGUGUGCGCGCGCGCGCACGCGCGCACAAAGGAGGAGUGUGGAAGAAUGAAUAAAUAAAGACUUCGUGACGUUCCUGAUGUCAGUCUUCCAGCGCAAGCUUUAGAGACCACCUUGCUUGCAGGUCCACUGGAAAGUUCUGUUUUCCUAGAACUUCAUUGUAACUCUGACUCUGAUGAAGCCUCUAGAUCUAAAUACCAAUUUUCAGGAAGCACAAGAGACAAAAGAACACGUUGAUAAUGCCAGGGGGAUGCAAUCAGCAAAAUCUUUUUUUCUAGAUAAAUUUAAUGCAUUUUUGUAUGAUUAUUGAACUGUUUAUCCUUCUUCUACAUCAAAUUUUGUGGGUUUUUGCUUAUCAUACUCUUCUUGGAUUUAUUUUUAUCUUCUUUUCUGCCUUCUGAAUUGAUAAAAUUUUCUUAAUUCCCUCUUAUUCUCCCUCCUGUUUGGCAAGCUAAAUUGGUUGUAUUUCUUGUAAUGGUUACUCUUAAACUUGAAGAUAUAUAUUAAUUAUGUGUUUAUGUAAUUUGGUAUCUUUCUAGUCUCUUUCAAACAUAAGAAAGGUAGAAAAAAGCUUUAGUUUACUUUAUUACGUACUGUUCUUCAGUUCUGCUUCUUGUGACUAUGAUCCAACGCUUUGGUUCAAUAUUUUUAAUACAAAAAUCUGAGUUUUAUUGUUAUGUUUACAGACAGUAUUUGGCCACUUUCUUUACUCACUAUUGCUUUUUGCAUCACUAACUUCCAUCUGUGUUCACUUAUUUUUUAUUGUUGAAAUAGAUUAUUGUUUUUAAAAUUUAAUCCUUUUUUGUAGCAUACUAAAAUUCUUUUUAAUUGCUAACAAAUAAAAACAAAGUGGUGCACAACUUUAAUAUUUUAGAGAAGUACUUUCUAGAAUUUAUUAUUCUUUUCUCCCCCACUUUUGAUAUGCCUUUUUUUAUUGCAGUAACAUUGGUUUAUAAAAUUUGCAUAUAUUUCAGGUGUGCAUCAUUAUAUUUCAAUGUCUGUGUAGAUUACAUUGUGUUCACCACCCGAAACUAAUUACAAUCCAUCAUCAUACACGUGUGCCUAACCACCCCUUUCCCCGUUGGUAACCACCAAUCCAAUCUCUGUCUCUAUGUGAUUGUUUGUUGUUGUUUUUAUCUUCUAUUUAUGAAUAAGAUCAUAUGGUAUUUGACUUUCUCC